UAAUUGAUUGAUUCACUCAGCCUUGAAAACAAACAAAACAUUGCUGCUUCACAUUCAUUUUUUUUCUCGAUACAAAAGCUAAUCAUUCGGGGAAGACCGAACAAACAAGCUGGUUCACUUAUCAAAUUGGUUUCUCAAUAGAAACCCCUAGAAUUCCACUCUUGAACACAAAUAACUAAAUCGUCUGUUCACUUCCAAAUGGGUUUCUCAAUGCAAACCCUUAAUUUGAAUUUCUCUUCUCCCAUUUCCGAUUCAUCUCAUCAUCAAUGUCGAUUAUUCAAUUUUCCAGGUACUUAAUUUAAAUUUUUGCUUGCAGGCUUAUGGUUCUGCAAAUCAGUUCAAAGUUGAAGUUUAAACUACGUUGAUUCCUUCGUACAAACGGCGUUGUUGCUAUGGUUAUCGUUGUUAAAAAUGAAGAAGGUGGCAAUUUUGUGUCUAUUGUUGUCUUAAGAAAAGUACUUAUAGUAUAUUUGAUGAUAUUGAAAGAGCACUUGAUGAUGGAAUGAACACUAAUAAGGCCAUGUGCAGCCGUCGUGCAGGGAUAGCCGUAUUGUGCAUGGAGCUGCUGCAACUGAAAUUGAGUUAGCUAAUAGGGUGAAAGAAUUUUCUUUCAAAACAAUAGAAUUGUAAGACCGGUUAAUGGCAGGUUCAACAAACCUCCUACCACUGAGUACCAAAGACAAAAGGUGGAAGCUUUUAGAAUUUGGUUAAGUCAAGUACAGCUCGAUAUGUUUCUUUGACAUUGAUAAACAUGAAUCUGCAAUCUUGUGUUGGUAUGGAGCUAGAACUAGAGCUGCAAAAGUUGGAAAAGGUUUGUCCAAAGACUAGAAAGCACCGAAACUUGCUCUACACUGCAACAUUGGCUCGAACUGUGUACGUAAUAGAUCAACUCACGACAUUGUUGUGGACAUAAUCUACACUUUUAUUAUGAUAAAAGGCAUCGAUUCAACAUUUUGAAUGACAACAUCACAGAAUAAUUGAAGAUUCAUUAUCUUUCUCAGCCCUCUAUCCCGCAAAAUCAUUACUUCUAAUCCUUUCAUCUUAUUCGUAGAACCUUUGUUUUGUUAUUUGUUUGGUUUUUUUUUUUACAUAUUUUAAGUCAUUACUCAUACAAGUGAUUAAAAUUGUUUGCAUUAAUGGGAAUGUGGUGCAGGUCCAAAAAAAUUAUUGGAAUAUGUGAGAUCAAGGUAAAAUAUAUUGGAGAAAGAUGUCAAACUUUCAGGUCUUUGGACUAUGUUUUUUGUCAAGUCUAAUGAAAGUUCAAGCCAGUUUUGUUUUCUUCUCCUCUUGGUGUAAUUUACUAGAAAAUUGCCCUACAUAGUUCUAAUUUUUAACGUUUAGAUUUUUUUGAUUUAAUUUGGGUUGUGUGAACUUUAAGUAACAAAGAUAUUUUUCAGUGUACUACGAUAUAAUAAUAAAGACAUAUUAUA